rnacentral:rRNA from 1 species
GAUGAACGCUGGCGGCGUGCCUAAUACAUGCAAGUCGAGCGCACAGACGAGGAACUUGUUCCUCUGACGUUAGCGGCGGACGGGUGAGUAACACGUGGAUAACCUACCUAUAAGACUGGGAUAACUUCGGGAAACGGGAGCUAAUACCGGAUAAUAUAUUGAACCGCAUGGUUCAAUAGUGAAAGACGGUUUUGCUGUCACUUAUAGAUGGAUCCCGGCGGCAUUGGCUAGUUGGUAAGGUAACGGCUUACCAAGGCAACGAUGCGUAGCCGACCUGCGAGGGGGAUCGGCCACACGGGAACGGGGACACGGUCCAGACUCCUACGGGAGGCAGCAGAAGGGAAUCUUCGGCAAUGGGCGAAAGCCUGACGGAGCAAGGCGGCGUGGGUGAUGAAGGUCUCCGGUGCGUAAACCUCGUUUAUUGGGGAAGAACAAAGGUGGAAGUAACUAUGCACGUAUUGACGGUACCUAAUCAGAAAGCCACGGCUAACUACGUG